GGGAGAGGAUAGCCAAGACACGAGAAGAGGAUUGAAUCGGCUCAAAGAGCUUAUUUGACCCUAUUAGGAAGAUAAUAUGCAUCUUUAUCCAUGAACAUGCUUCAUGAACUCAUUCUAGCAUCAUUUAUUCAUACUCUUGUUGAAGUCAACUCCUUAAUUUUUGGCAGCCGAUGCGAAUCUCUCUUUCUUCUUAGGUUUCCCCAAAUAGAGCAAAAUGGGCAUCC
rnacentral:lncRNA from 1 species